AAAACAUAGCCUGUAGAAUUUUUUAUAGGUAAAAUUUGCUCAAUGAAUUUUUUUAAUAGCCGCAGUACUUUGACUGUGCUAAGGUAGCAAAAUAAUUUGACUUUUAAUUGAGGCCCAGUAUGAAUGAGAAUAUGGUGAAAACUUGUCUCUAAAAUUUAAAUUUGAAUUUACUUAGUUGGUGAAAAUACCAACAAAAAAAUAUUAGACGAGAAGACCCUCAGAAUUUUUUAAAAAAAUUUUUUAAUAAAAGUAUUUUUUGUUGGGGCGACAUUAUAAACAAUCUUAACAUAUAUAAACCAAUACAUAACUAAAUUACUAUAAAUGAAUAUAAUUACCUGAGGGAUAACAGCAUAAUAAAAAUUUUGGUUGUGACCUCGAUGUUGGAUUAGGUUUAAAAGUGAUUAAAAAUUACUUUUUAUUUUUCUGUUCGAAAAUUUUUUACACCUACGUGAUCU
rnacentral:rRNA from 1 species